rnacentral:rRNA from 1 species
CGUCAAGCGAUGGGGUGACGCAGGAAGGUAGCUGGGCCAGUCAGUGGUUGUACUGGUGUAAGAGUGUAGGCCGUGACAUAGGCAAAUCCGUGUCACAUUAAGGCUGAGACUUGAUGCAUACCCGUUGUGGGGAAUUCAGUGAUCCUAUGCUGCCGAGAAAAGCCUCUAGUAGUUCAUACACGGCCCGUACCCCAAACCGACACAGGUGAUCAGGUAGAGAAUACCAAGGCGAUCGAGAGAACUGUGGUUAAGGAACUCGGCAAAAUGCCCCCGUAACUUCGGGAGAAGGGGGACCAUGCCCGGUGAACAUCUUCACGGUGGGAGCUGGGUGUGGUCGCAGAGACCAGAGAGAAGCGACUGUUUACUAAAAACACAGGUCCGUGCGAAGACGUAAGUCGAUGUAUACGGACUGACGCCUGCCCGGUGCUGGAAGGUUAAGAGGACCGGUUAGCCGUAAGGCGAAGCUGAGAAUUUAAGCCCCAGUAAACGGCGGUGGUAACUAUAACCAUCCUAAGGUAGCGAAAUUCCUUGUCGGGUAAGUUCCGACCUGCACGAAUGGCGUAACGACUUCUCUGCUGUCUCGACCACAGACUCGGCGAAAUUGCACUACGAGUAAAGAUGCUCGUUACGCGCGGCAGGACGAAAAGACCCCGGGACCUUUACUAUAGCUUGGUAUUGGCGUUCGAUUCGGUUUGUGUAGGAUAGGUGGGAGACUGUGAAGCAUGCACGCCAGUGUGUGUGGAGUCGUUGUUGAAAUACCACUCUGAUCGUAUUGGACGUCUAACCUCGGCCCAUGAUCUGGGUUAGGGACAGUGCCUGGUGGGUAGUUUAACUGGGGCGGUUGCCUCCUAAAGAGUAACGGAGGCGCCCAAAGGUUCCCUCAGCCUGGAUGGCAAUCAGGUGUUGAGUGCAAGUGCACAAGGGAGCUUGACUGUUAGACUGACACGUCGAGCAGGGACGAAAGUCGGGACUAGUGAUCCGGCACCGGCAAGUGGAAGCGGUGUCGCUCAACGGAUAAAAGGUACCCCGGGGAUAACAGGCUGAUCUUCCCCAAGAGUCCAUAUCGACGGGAUGGUUUGGCACCUCGAUGUCGGCUCGUCGCAUCCUGGGGCUGGAGUAGGUCCCAAGGGUUGGGCUGUUCGCCCAUUAAAGCGGCACGCGAGCUGGGUUUAGAACGUCGUGAGACAGUUCGGUCUCUAUCCGCCGCGCGCGUAAGAAACUUGAGGAAGGCUGUCCCUAGUACGAGAGGACCGGGACGGACGAACCUCUGGUGUGCCAGUUGUUCCACCAGGAGCAUGGCUGGUUAGCUACGUUCGGAAGGGAUAACCGCUGAAAGCAUCUAAGCGGGAAGCCUGUUCCAAGAUGAGGUUUCUCACCACCUUGCGUGGUUAAGGCCCCCUACAGACCAUGGGGUUGAUAGGCCGGAACUGGAAGCGCAGCAAUGCGUGGAGGUGACCGGUACUAAUAGGCCGAGGGCUUACC